UGGUAGUNCACGCCGUAAACGAUGAGUGCUAGGUGUUAGACCCUUUCCGGGGUUUAGUGCCGCAGCUAACGCAUUAAGCACUCCGCCUGGGGAGUACGACCGCAAGGUUGAAACUCAAAGGAAUUGACGGGGGCCCGCACAAGCGGUGGAGCAUGUGGUUUAAUUCGAAGCAACGCGAAGAACCUUACCAGGUCUUGACAUCCCUCUGGCCGCUCUAGAGAUAGAGUUUUCCUUCGGGACAGAGGUGACAGGUGGUGCAUGGUUGUCGUCAGCUCGUGUCGUGAGAUGUUGGGUUAUGUCCCGCAACGAGCGCAACCCCUAUUGUUAGUUGCCAUCAUUCGGUUGGGCACUCUAGCGAGACUGCCGGUAAUAAACCGGAGGAAGGUGGGGAUGACGUCAAAUCAUCAUGCCCCUUAUGACCUGGGCCACACACGUGCUACAAUGGCUGGUACAACGAGUCGCAAGCCGGUGACGGCAAGCUAAUCUCUUAAAGCCAGUCUCAGUUCGGAUUGUAGGCUGCAACUCGCCUACAUGAAGUCGGAAUCGCUAGUAAUCGCGGAUCAGCACGCCGCGGUGAAUACGUUCCCGGGCCUUGUACACACCGCCCGUCACACCACGAGAGUUUGUAACACCCGAAGUCGGUGAGGUAACCAUUNGGAGCCAGCCG
rnacentral:rRNA from 1 species